GGUGGAGGGGGUCAGACCGGGUCCCUCUAGAAGAAGCCAUGUUGAGGUGUUUUCUUCUCACCCUUUGGGUACUGACUCGUCUAGGUGCUGCGCUGGGUGACUCGGUCCAGCCCGAAAAAUCGCAAGUGUCUGGAAUAGAAGCAGACUCUGUGGCUCUCCGCUGUUCCUACGAUACUAGCUCUACCGAUUAUGUCUAUCUGAAUUGGUACCGUCAACAUCCGAAUCAAGCCCUCCAGUACAUUCUCAAGAGAGGGGUGAAGCGAGCUCAGGGUUACGCUCAUACUGCAGAUUUCGCCAAAAAGAGGUUUUCUUCCCAGGUUGAUGACAGCUCCACAGUUCUGAACAUCACCUCCCUGGAGCUGGCAGACACAGCGGUGUAUUCCUGCGCCCUGGAGAGGGCACUGUGA